rnacentral:tRNA from 1 species
GGGCGCAUGGCUCAAUGGUAGAGCGUCGCGUUCACAUCGCGAAGAUCUCUGGUUCGAUCCCAGAUGCGCCCA